UCACGCCAAGCAUGUACCGCAAGUCCAU
rnacentral:sRNA from 1 species